rnacentral:rRNA from 1 species
UGGGGAAUAUUGCACAAUGGGCGCAAGCCUGAUGCAGCCAUGCCGCGUGUGUGAAGAAGGCCUUCGGGUUGUAAAGCACUUUCAGCGAGGAGGAAGGUGGUGAACUUAAUACGUCAUCAAUGA